rnacentral:rRNA from 1 species
CCUACGGGAGGCAGCAGGGAGGAAUAGUGGUCAAUGGGCGCGAGCCGGAACCAGCCAAGUAGCGUGAAGGAUGACGGCCCUACGGGUUGUAAACUUCUUUUAUAAAGGAAUAAAGUGAGGCACGUGUGCCUUUUUGUAUGUACGUUAUGAAUAAGGAUCGGCUAACUCCGUGCCAGCAGCCGCGGUAAUACGGAGGAUCCGAGCGUUAUCCGGAUUUAUUUGGUUUAAAGGGAGCGUAGAUGGGUUGUUAAGUCAGUUGUGAAAGUUUGCGGCUCAACCGUAAAAUUGCAAUUGAUACUGGCAGUCUUGCGUACAGUUGCGGUCGGCGGCCUUCGUGGUGUAGCGG